CCUACGGGAGGCAGCAGUGGGGAAUCUUGCGCAAUGGGCGAAAGCCUGACGCAGCAACGCCGCGUGCGGGAAGAAGGCCUUCGGGUUGUAAACCGCUUUCAGCAGGAACGAAAAUGACGGUACCUGCAGAAGAAGGUGCGGCCAACUACGUGCCAGCAGCCGCGGUGACACGUAGGCACCAAGCGUUGUCCGGAUUUAUUGGGCGUAAAGAGCUCGUAGGCGGUUCAGUAAGUCGGGUGUGAAAACUGUGGGCUUAACCCACAGCCUGCACUCGAAACUGCUGUGACUAGAGUUCGGUAGGGGAGCGGGGAAUUCCUGGUGUAGCGGUGAAAUGCGCAGAUAUCAGGAGGAACACCGGUGGCGAAGGCGCCGCUCUGGGCCGACACUGACGCUGAGGAGCGAAAGCGUGGGUAGCAAACAGGAUUAGAUACCCUGGUAGUCCACGCCGUAAACGUUGGGCACUAGGUGUGGGUCUCAACCAACGAGAUCCGCGCCGUCGCUAACGCAUUAAGUGCCCCGCCUGGGGAGUACGGUCGCAAGACUAAAACUCAAAGGAAUUGACGG
rnacentral:rRNA from 1 species